CCCUUAGAUGUUCUGGGCCGCACGCGUGCUACACUGAGUGGAUCAGCGGGUCAGGUUGCGCGAAAGCGUUUCCUAAUCUUUAAAUCCGCUCGUGAUGGGGAUUGACGGUUGCAAUUUUCUGUCAUGAACGAGGAAUACCUUGUAAGCGCGGGUCAUCAUCCCGCGCUGAAUACGUCCCUGCCCUUUGUACACACCGCCCGUCGCUCCUACCGAAUGAGUGGUCCGGUGAGGCUUUGGGAUCUGAGCGGAAAGAGCGUUUCGCUGUUUCUGCUCGGAAAACUCAGUCGAACCUUAUCAUUUAGAGGAAGGAGAAGUCGUAACA
rnacentral:rRNA from 1 species